UACGUAGGGUGCAAGCGUUGUCCGGAAUUAUUGGGCGUAAAGAGCUCGUAGGCGGUUUGUUGCGUCGGCUGUGAAAUCCCGAGGCUCAACCUCGGGUCUGCAGUCGAUACGAGCAAACUAGAGUGUUGCAGGGGAGACUGGAAUUCCUGGUGUAGCGGUGAAAUGCGCAGAUAUCAGGAGGAACACCGGUGGCGAAGGCGGUUCUCUGGGCAUUACCUGACGCUGAGUGCGCGAAAGCCAGGGGAGCAAACGGG
rnacentral:rRNA from 1 species